rnacentral:rRNA from 1 species
UGGUGCGACCAUACCAGCACUAACGCACCGGAUCCCAUCAGAACUCCGAAGUUAAGCGUGAUCGGGCGAGAGUAGCACUAGGAUGGGUGACCCCCUGGGAAGUCCUCGUGUAACACCCC